AUGGACGACAGCAGCAGUAGCAGCAGCGAGGUUGAGCUGAUGCUCGAGAGGGCGUUCCCGGAUGGGGUCGAGAUAGACGUCGCCACGCACUGCGACGGCCUCAUCGCCGUCACGACGGACGCCGGCGAGACAUUCGUCUGCAACCCAGCCACCAAGGAGCUCGUCACGCUGCCGCUCGGCAUCAGCUGCCACAACGGCUGCGUCGUCUGGGAUCGGUUCGCGGCCAUCGGCUAUGAUCCGUGGCGCCGCGCAACCGGUACGUCGUACUUCCACCGGCGCUACCCAAACAGGGCCGGCGUCGCCGAAAUCGGGCAUGAGAUCUUCGUUCUCGGCGGCGGCGGCGCCGGCUCAUGGGAGGCCACCGAGGAUCCACCACCAACCAGCGCCGUCGUGCCCAGCACUCCGCCGGCUUGCAUCGGAGGGUGCUUCUACUGGUGCACCAACGAGGACGUCGGCAACCCGAGCAUGUUGCUCCGGUUUAGCCUUCGCAGCCACAAGUUCGACAUGGUUCCAUGCCAUCCGGGCUGCUCAUCCGACGUCUUCGCAUUCAACACCUGGUCCAUGCGCUGCUGCAUCGAUGUCGGCGACUACGUGAGCUGCGUCUCCCCGCUGGUGGCCGGCGGGGAGCACAUCUUGCUGUCGGUGGAUGAGAACUUGUAUCUGUAUGGUGAGAGGAGUAGGGUUCUGGAGAAGGUGGUCGACACGGCAGAGGUGGAAUACGCGCGGUCGGAUGGGAGCAAAUAUAAGCUAGGCUAUGAUUUGUAUAGUCAGCAUUACUAUGUUCCAUAUGUGGAGAGUCUAGUCUCAAUUAGAUUUCGCUCAAAAACCGCCGCCGCUGCUCCAUCCCCCUCCGGCCCUCUUCGUCCGCGCUCACCCCCGCUUGAGCAGCUCGCCGGAAAGGCGGGCAGCAGCAAGAACGACUGCGGCGGAGCUCCUUCUCUCCUCUUCCACCCCCUGAUAGCACUAUGCGCCUAUGCGGGUUGUGGUCACCGAAUCCCUGUCAUGUGGCAAUGGGGUUCUCAGAUAUAGACCAAUCUAU
rnacentral:lncRNA from 1 species